rnacentral:rRNA from 1 species
UCCUACAGCCAGAUCACCCUGAAUGAGGUCAACCUAUUGAGAUCCCUGAAGCUUCGCACAGUUGAUUCUGGUUAGCACUGGACUUGGGAGACUGCCUGGGAAUACCAGGUGUUGUAGGCU